rnacentral:tRNA from 1 species
GCUCGUGGAAGCCGUGGCUGCGCGGCACGGCGCUCGGAUUCCCGUUCGGGGCGCUGCCCUCCGGCGGUGCGGAACUGCCCACGUUCC